rnacentral:rRNA from 1 species
CCCUUAGAUGUUCGGGGCCGCACGCGCGCUACACUGAAUGGAUCAACGUGCCUUUCCCGAGGCUGAAAAGUCGGGGUAAUCCGUUGAACCCCAUUCGUGACGGGGAUAGGAGCUUGCAAUUAUUCUCCUUGAACGAGGAAUUCCCAGUAAGCGCGAGUCAUCAGCUCGCGUUGAUUACGUCCCUGCCCUUUGUACACACCGCCCGUCGCUACUACCGAUCGGAUUGUCCUGUGAAUUUCUAGGAGAGUUGAGGUCCUGGCGCUUCGGUGUCGGCGACCUCAUGCUUGAAUUGAAUUGAACUGGACUCUCUAGAGGAAGUAAAAGUCGUAACA